UUCUGAGAAUUAGCGAAUCAGGACCAUGGGCGCAGUCAGAACUGUUCAAACAGGAGCACGAGGGGUUGAAGCAGACGUUACUGGCCUUUCUUCCUGACACCCUGUCCUGUCAGCUGCGGGAGUCCGAGGUGGCUGAGAUUCACUGGCCCUGUGACCCCUGAGCCAAGGAGUUUCUUAAGAGAUUGUAGGAGCCCUGGACUCAGACAAGGAGUACAGUUAAGUAACAGCCUUGAGUCUGAGAAGACACUUUUGAGAAUGUGAAAGACUAUGGAAACUUUUGACUUUGGACUGAAUAUAUUUUACAUUGUGAGAUGACCACAAGCCUACUGUGUCCAGGAAGUGGAAUGUGCUGGUUUGAGCCUGAAGGAGACUUAGUGGACCACCUCCAGACUUGAAGCAUGUCACAACUCUACUCCCUGAUGAGAGAGCAGCGCUGUCUUUACAUUCCUGACUGGCAGGAGAGGAAACUUCCGUGUCCUGUAGGAGGGUGUACUCUCCGGAGCCAAUUGGGGCUGUGUAUUUCAACUUGAAAAAGACUGAUCGCCUGGCUGUGGUAAGCUUCUAUUGUAGAAUCCAAACCGAAUACCACACGCACUGCAACCCUAUAAACAGGUGCCUCUGUUGGACCAGUUUACAGAUGGGGAGACAGACCUAAAUAUGUAGAUUGUCC
rnacentral:lncRNA from 1 species